CCUACGGGUGGCAGCAGUGGGGGAUAUUGCACAAUGGGGGGAACCCUGAUGCAGCGACGCCGCGUGGGUGAUGAAGUAUUUCGGUAUGUAAAGCCCUAUCAGCAGGGAAGAAAAUGACGGUACCUGACCAAGAAGCCCCGGCUAACUACGUGCCAGCAGCCGCGGUAAUAUGUAGGGGGCAAGCGUUAUCCGGAUUUACUGGGUGUAAAGGGGGCGUAGACGGUCCUGCAAGCCAGAUGUGAAAGCCCGGGGCUCAACCCCGGGACUGCAUUUGGAACUGUAAGGCUGGAGUGUAGGAGAGGCAGGCGGAAUUCCUAGUGUAGCGGUGAAAUGCGUAGAUAUUAGGAGGAACACCAGUGGCGAAGGCGGCCUGCUGGACGGUGACGGACGUUGAGGCUCGAAAGCGUGGGGAGCAAACAGGAUUAGAUACCCCUGUAGUC
rnacentral:rRNA from 1 species